rnacentral:rRNA from 1 species
UAGGGAAUAUUGGUAAUCUGGGAAACCGGGAACCAGCAACGCCGCGUGCGCGAUGAAGGCCUUCGGGUUGUAAAGCGCUUUUUGAGAGGAUGAGGAAGGACAGUACUCUUAGAAUAAGUCUCGGCUAACUACGUGCCAGCAGCCGCGGUAACACGUAGGAGGCAAACGUUAUCCGGAUUUACUGGGCGUAAAGCGCGUGUAGGUGGUUUGGUAAGUAGGGCGUGAAAGCUCCUGGCUCAACUGGGAGAGGACGUUCUAAACUGCCAAGCUUGAGGAUGGUAGAGGGAGGUGGAAUUCCGGGUGUAGCGGUGGAAUGCGCAGAUAGCCGGAGGAAAACCAGUGACAAAGGCGGCCGCCUGGACCACUCCUGACACACAAACGCGAAAGCUAGGGUAGCAGACGUGAUUACAUACCCUGGUAGUA